rnacentral:lncRNA from 1 species
CGACUUCACUUUCCCUUUUCACUUUCAUGCAUUGGAGAAAGAAAUGGCAACCCACUCCAGUGUUCUUGCCUGGAGAAUUCCAUGGACGAAGGAGCCCGGUAGGCUAAAGACCAUGGGGUCACAAAGAGUCAGACAUGACUGAAGCGUCUUAACACUUACGCAUGAUCAAAAAUGAAAAGGACUGUGUGCAGAUUAUGAAGGAAGCGCCCCCUGUACCUUACAGCUCAGCCACAAAGCGUUUUGCAACAGGAAAGAGCACACCUGUCCCUCAGGGGGGCGCGCCGCAAGCCCCUCUGGGAAAUGUAGUUCUAAAGCGAGUGGGACUCUGGGAAAUGUAGUUCUGCGUGGACACUGCCGAGGCCCAGCCGCGUCCGCCUCGGUUCUGUAGACCAGAGGGGUAAGGUUGUGGGGGGCUGGGGCUGGGGCGGGGACGGGGCUGUGGGCUGCUUGUGGCCUCUGCGUCCGACUGGGGCCGUGUGAUGACCCCGGCGCGGACCGGCCUGGGGCGACGCCGGCGUGUGUACGAACCAGCUCCGGAGCCGGGAACUGGGGGAGGCUCGGAAGGAUUUUCCUGCUGCGCAGGCUUCGAUUCCGGUGCAGGUGCGGGGCCCCUCUCAUCCAGCACCUGUGUGGCCUUGUUGGUGUACCCUCAUGAAGGAAAUCACAUCCCUGUGUGA